rnacentral:rRNA from 1 species
GAUGAACGCUGGCGGCGUGCCUAAUACAUGCAAGUCGAGCGAACGGACGAGAAGCUUGCUUCUCUGAUGUUAGCGGCGGACGGGUGAGUAACACGUGGAUAACCUACCUAUAAGACUGGGAUAACUUCGGGAAACCGGAGCUAAUACCGGAUGAUAUUUUGAACCGCAUGGUUCAAAAGUGAAAGACGGUCUUGCUGUCACUUAUAGAUGGAUCCGCGCUGCAUUAGCUAGUUGGUAAGGUAACGGCUUACCAAGGCAACGAUGCAUAGCCGACCUGAGAGGGUGAUCGGCCACACUGGAACUGAGACACGGUCCAGACUCCUACGGGAGGCAGCAGUAGGGAAUCUUCCGCAAUGGGCGAAAGCCUGACGGAGCAACGCCGCGUGAGUGAUGAAGGUCUUCGGAUCGUCAAACUCUGUUAUUAGGGAAGAACAUAUGUGUAAGUAACUGUGCACAUCUUGACGGUACCUAAUCAGAAAGCCACGGCUAACUACGUG